rnacentral:rRNA from 1 species
AUUGAACGCUGGCGGCAUGCCUUACACAUGCAAGUCGAACGGUAACAGGUCUUCGGAUGCUGACGAGUGGCGAACGGGUGAGUAAUACAUCGGAACGUGCCCGAUCGUGGGGGAUAACGAGGCGAAAGCUUUGCUAAUACCGCAUACGAUCUACGGAUGAAAGCGGGGGAUCUUCGGACCUCGCGCGGCCGGAGCGGCCGAUGGCAGAUUAGGUAGUUGGUGGGAUAAAAGCUUACCAAGCCGACGAUCUGUAGCUGGUCUGAGAGGAUGAUCAGCCACACUGGGACUGAGACACGGCCCAGACUCCUACGGGAGGCAGCAGUGGGGAAUUUUGGACAAUGGGCGAAAGCCUGAUCCAGCCAUGCCGCGUGAAGGAUGAAGGCCUUUGGGUUGUAAACUGCUUUUGUACGGAAAGAAAAGCCUCUUUCUAAUAAAGAGGGGUCAUGACGGUACCGUAAGAAUAAGCACCGGCUAACUACGUG